rnacentral:rRNA from 1 species
CCUACGGGAGGCAGCAGUGGGGAAUAUUGCACAAUGGGCGCAAGCCUGAUGCAGCCAUGCCGCGUGUGUGAAGAAGGCCUUCGGGUUGUAAAGCACUUUCAGCGGGGAGGAAGGCGGUGAGGUUAAUAACCUCAUCGAUUGACGUUACCCGCAGAAGAAGCACCGGCUAACUCCGUGCCAGCAGCCGCGGUAAUACGGAGGGUGCAAGCGUUAACCGGAAUUACUGGGCGUAAAGCGCACGCAGGCGGUCUGUCAAGUCGGAUGUGAAAUCCCCGGGCUCAACCUGGGAACUGCAUUCGAAACUGGCAGGCUAGAGUCUUGUAGAGGGGGGUAGAAUUCCAGGUGUAGCGGUGAAAUGCGUAGAGAUCUGGAGGAAUACCGGUGGCGAAGGCGGCCCUCUGGACAAAGACUGACGCUCAGGUGCGAAAGCGUGGGGAGCAAACAGGAUUAGAUACCCGUGUAGUC